UUAAGCGACUAAGCGUACACGGUGGAUGCCCUGGCAGUCAGAGGCGAUGAAGGACGUGCUAAUCUGCGAUAAGCGCCGGUAAGGUGAUAUGAACCGUUAUAACCGGCGAUUUCCGAAUGGGGAAACCCAGUGUGACUCGUCACACUAUCAUUAACUGAAUCCAUAGGUUAAUGAGGCGAACCGGGGGAACUGAAACAUCUAAGUACCCCGAGGAAAAGAAAUCAACCGAGAUUCCCCCAGUAGCGGCGAGCGAACGGGGAGGAGCCCAGAGCCUGAAUCAGCAUGUGUGUUAGUGGAAGCGUCUGGAAAGGCGCGCGAUACAGGGUGACAGCCCCGUACACAAAAGCGCAUGUGCUGUGAGCUCGAUGAGUAGGGCGGGACACGUGGUAUCCUGUCUGAAUAUGGGGGGACCAUCCUCCAAGGCUAAAUACUCCUGACUGACCGAUAGUGAACCAGUACCGUGAGGGAAAGGCGAAAAGAACCCCGGCGAGGGGAGUGAAAAAGAACCUGAAACCGUGUACGUACAAGCAGUGGGAGCCCCACCACUAAGCCAGUGGUGAACUCCACAUACGCAUCCUUUGCUGAGGAUGCGGUUAACGGAGCGAAAGCGACGUUCAACCGCAAAAGAAGCAGAGGGGGCUUAGUGGUGGGGUGACUGCGUACCUUUUGUAUAAUGGGUCAGCGACUUAUAUUCUGUAGCAAGGUUAACCGAAUAGGGGAGCCGGAGGGAAACCGAGUCUUAAUUGGGCGUUAAGUUGCAGGGUAUAGACCCGAAACCCGGUGAUCUAGCCAUGGGCAGGUUGAAGGUUGGGUAACACUAACUGGAGGACCGAACCGACUAAUGUUGAAAAAUUAGCGGAUGACCUGUGGCUGGGGGUGAAAGGCCAAUCAAACCGGGAGAUAGCUGGUUCUCCCCGAAAGCUAUUUAGGUAGCGCCUCGUGAAUUCAUCUCCGGGGGUAGAGCACUGUUUCGGCUAGGGGGCCAUCCCGGCUUACCAACCCGAUGCAAACUGCGAAUACCGGAGAAUGUUAUCACGGGAGACACACGGCGGGUGCUAACGUCCGUCGUGAAGAGGGAAACAACCCAGACCGCCAGCUAAGGUCCCAAAGUCAUGGUUAAGUGGGAAACGAUGUGGGAAGGCCCAGACAGCCAGGAUGUUGGCUUAGAAGCAGCCAUCAUUUAAAGAAAGCGUAAUAGCUCACUGGUCGAGUCGGCCUGCGCGGAAGAUGUAACGGGGCUAAACCAUGCACCGAAGCUGCGGCAGCGACGCUGAUGCGUUGUUGGGUAGGGGAGCGUUCUGUAAGCCUGCGAAGGUGGCCUGUGAGGGUUGCUGGAGGUAUCAGAAGUGCGAAUGCUGACAUAAGUAACGAUAAAGCGGGUGAAAAGCCCGCUCGCCGGAAGACCAAGGGUUCCUGUCCAACGUUAAUCGGGGCAGGGUGAGUCGACCCCUAAGGCGAGGCCGAAAGGCGUAGUCGAUGGGAAACGGGUUAAUAUUCCCGUACUUGGUGUUACUGCGAAGGGGGGACGGAGAAGGCUAUGUUGGCCGGGCGACGGUUGUCCCGGUUUAAGCGUGUAGGUGUGUGUUCCAGGUAAAUCCGGUUCACUUUAACACUGAGGCGUGAUGACGAGGCACUACGGUGCUGAAGCAACAAAUGCCCUGCUUCCAGGAAAAGCCUCUAAGCAUCAGGUAACAUCAAAUCGUACCCCAAACCGACACAGGUGGUCAGGUAGAGAAUACCAAGGCGCUUGAGAGAACUCGGGUGAAGGAACUAGGCAAAAUGGUGCCGUAACUUCGGGAGAAGGCACGCUGACACGUAGGUGAAGUGAUUUACUCAUGGAGCUGAAGUCAGUCGAAGAUACCAGCUGGCUGCAACUGUUUAUUAAAAACACAGCACUGUGCAAACACGAAAGUGGACGUAUACGGUGUGACGCCUGCCCGGUGCCGGAAGGUUAAUUGAUGGGGUCAGCGCAAGCGAAGCUCCUGAUCGAAGCCCCGGUAAACGGCGGCCGUAACUAUAACGGUCCUAAGGUAGCGAAAUUCCUUGUCGGGUAAGUUCCGACCUGCACGAAUGGCGUAAUGAUGGCCAGGCUGUCUCCACCCGAGACUCAGUGAAAUUGAACUCGCUGUGAAGAUGCAGUGUACCCGCGGCAAGACGGAAAGACCCCGUGAACCUUUACUAUAGCUUGACACUGAACAUUGAGCCUUGAUGUGUAGGAUAGGUGGGAGGCUUUGAAGUGUGGACGCCAGUCUGCAUGGAGCCGGCCUUGAAAUACCACCCUUUAAUGUUUGAUGUUCUAACGUGGACCCGUGAUCCGGGUUGCGGACAGUGUCUGGUGGGUAGUUUGACUGGGGCGGUCUCCUCCUAAAGAGUAACGGAGGAGCACGAAGGUUGGCUAAUCCUGGUCGGACAUCAGGAGGUUAGUGCAAUGGCAUAAGCCAGCUUGACUGCGAGCGUGACGGCGCGAGCAGGUGCGAAAGCAGGUCAUAGUGAUCCGGUGGUUCUGAAUGGAAGGGCCAUCGCUCAACGGAUAAAAGGUACUCCGGGGAUAACAGGCUGAUACCGCCCAAGAGUUCAUAUCGACGGCGGUGUUUGGCACCUCGAUGUCGGCUCAUCACAUCCUGGGGCUGAAGUAGGUCCCAAGGGUAUGGCUGUUCGCCAUUUAAAGUGGUACGCGAGCUGGGUUUAGAACGUCGUGAGACAGUUCGGUCCCUAUCUGCCGUGGGCGCUGGAGAACUGAGGGGGGCUGCUCCUAGUACGAGAGGACCGGAGUGGACGCAUCACUGGUGUUCGGGUUGUCAUGCCAAUGGCACUGCCCGGUAGCUAAAUGCGGAAGAGAUAAGUGCUGAAAGCAUCUAAGCACGAAACUUGCCCCGAGAUGAGUUCUCCCUGAGACUUAGAGUCUCCUGAAGGAACGUUGAAGACGACGACGUUGAUAGGCCGGGUGUGUAAGCGCAGCGAUGCGUUGAGCUAACCGGUACUAAUGAACCGUGAGGCUUAACCUU
rnacentral:rRNA from 1 species